rnacentral:piRNA from 1 species
ACCUUCAUCAGGGCACUCCGGAAAGAAACAAC